rnacentral:sRNA from 1 species
GGGUAAAAUGUAAAAGAUUUUAUACCAUUUUCGAGUUUCGACAGAAAUUACAGAUAAUACAAGUAGCAGAGAAAAAAGUAAAAUCUAUAGAAAAACAGACAAUAACAAAAUACAGCAAAUGAAAAAAGUAUAAGUCUUGAGAAAAAACAAAAGAAAAAACACGAUUCCGAGUUGCCAAAACUCAGAAAUUUGCGUGAUUUCCAUAACUCCAAAAAGUUUGAGUCUCAUCUUAGUUGACACGAGUUAACCCUAAUCAUAUGUUUUU